rnacentral:rRNA from 1 species
GACGAACGCUGGCGGCGCGCUUAACACAUGCAAGUCGAGCGAAGCGGCGGACGGGUGAGUAACACGUGAGUAACCUGCCGUAGACAUUGGGAUAGCCUCGGGAAACCGGGAUUAAUACCAACUGGUAUAAGAUGGAAUCGCGGCACAUUAGCUAGUGGGUGCGGUAACGGCCCACCAAGGCGAUGAUGGUUAGCCGGCAUGAGAGGGUGAACGGCCACCUUGGAACGGAGAAACGGUCCAAACGAGCCGUGGGGCAGCAGUGGGGAAAAUGGGACAAUGGAGGGAGCGCUGAUGCAGCGUCGCCGAGUGAACGAAGCAGGCUUUAGAGUUGUAAACCUCUUCGGUAUCGGACGCUAUAGGGUGGGUUGAGGGUAGGUGGAGAAGAAGCGCCGGCUAACUCCGUGCCAGCAGCCGCGGUAAUUC